UCUCUCUCUCUCUCUCUCUCUCUCUCUCUCUCUCUCUCUCUCUCUCUCUCUCUCUCCUGUACGAAGCUAACCCAAUUCAUCUUCUCCAAGCAAACCAUAAAAAUGAUGAUCAGAAAUCGAUGAAACCAACAACAUUCAUCGUUAACGCAUAUAUCUUCCCAACAAGGAAGAACACAACAAGAUUCGAGCACUACAAAUUCAGAAGACAGACCCUAUUUUUGAUUUCUUUUGGGGUAUAAAAAGGCACAAAAGACAGAAGCCCUUGGGGUUUACAUUUUCUUGGCGGAUCCACUAUUCAUCAUCUUCUUUGUGAACCACAUUCAAUCCAAAAGCAAUGAGAGGUGUCAUUAAGGUUUGAACAAGAGUACCCAUAAAACCCAACCAAAAAAUAACUUAAAGCUUCAACGAUGCUCAAGAACGGGGGAAGAAAUCAACAUCGAUUGCUAAAAUCAUAAAUCCCAAAUGGAAUAAUCAAGAAAAAGAAGAACUCAUGAAGACCCAAUUCACAGCUCUAAAAUCCAAGAUCAAAUGAUUAAGAAACAAAAGAAUACAUAAGCAUCCACUUCAAAAAUCCCCAAUCGAUCGAUCAAGCAAGAAACAAGAAAACCCACAAAAAUCUAAUAGGAAGAUCAAGCACAUCACAUCCUUAUCUCUCUCAUUAGAAAAAGACAUCACACCUAGAUAGAUUCCAGUAAAAAACACAAGACCCAUUUCCUCCAACCCGAUUCUCCAUGAACACUCUGUGAUUUGGACACGAUACCCAUUUGAAACACAUCUUGCAAAAGGUCCUUGGACACCCCUAUACGAUCGAUCGUCCCUUUCUUGAAUAUCUGCGAGCAAGCCUUCACAAAGAAGCGGUCAGUACCUCUUGCAUCUCUAAAAUCGUCUCUAGAUCAGAAUCAAUUUCCAGAUGAAGAUAAGGGAUGAACACCCAAGAAUCGAUAUCCAGAAAUUUAGAACACGCACACACACUCUUAAAUUGAUUUCCAGAAACACAACUACACACGAUUUUAGUUUUUGAUUCGAAUUUAGGAAUUUGAUCUUAAGUUACCCAUGAAAAAAAAACUCACAAACGAUCUCCAUUGAGUUAUGAUUUAGAAAAACCCAAAUGAAAACGAGAUUGGAAAUA